GUAAUCACAAGGCUUUCUAUUUCCAAAGAAUUAUUAGAGGUUUCAAGAAGUUUUCUAAGGUUUUAUUCAGUGGCAGAAGACUUCUUUCAUUGAAUAAAUUAUAAAGAAACAACCAGUGACAAAAUAGUAUCACUUUAUGAUUAGACCUCAUGAAUCCUAACACAUUAGUCACACUGUGAUGGUUAAUACUGAGUGUCAACUUGUUUGAAGGAUCAAAGUAUUGUUAUUGGGUGUGUCUGUGAGGGUGUUGCCAAAGGAGAUCAACAUUUGAGUCAGUGGACUGGGAAAGGCAGACCCUAACCUUCAUCUGGGUGGGCACAAUCUAAUCAGCUGCCAGCAUAGCCAGAAUAAAAGCAGGCAGAAGAACAUGGAAAGAUGAGACUGGCUUAGCCUCCGAGCCUACAUCUUUCUCCCAUGCUGGAUGCUUCCUAUCUUCAAACAUCAGACUCCAAGUUCUUCAGCUUUGGGACUUGGACUGGCUUCGUUGCUCCUCAGCUUGCAUACAGCCUAUUGUGGGACCUCAUCUUGUGAACAUGAAGCAAGACACUUUUCCACUGGGAAAUCAGAUGGACCGUGUAGGCCUGGAGCUACCAGUGACUUCCUUUUGUACUUCAUGAAGAAAGCCUAACCGAUAACGAAGGUAACAAAGGACUCCAGAAAGGAAGUCAUGGAGCAGGACAACAGCGUGAAAACAUCUUGGGU
rnacentral:lncRNA from 1 species